rnacentral:lncRNA from 1 species
CUGAUUUAGUUGUAACUAUCUUUCUAACAAGUUGGACAGAUUGUUAUUCUGACUAAAUUGAAAAAGUGAUACAUAACAUAUAUCAAUUCAACAAUUAAUGUUGAAUAGUUAAAAAACAAAUACACAACCAGAAAAUAUAUAAAAAUGAAAUGAAUAUCGAAAUCCGUACACAAAAAUUAAAUGAAUUGAUACAGACAAGUGUGAUUGAUGGGUUUGUUUUUGUGAAAUGGAAUUGCGUUCUUCACUUGUGAUAGUUCACCCCGAGAUGUUUGGAGUAGAAGACAAUUGAAUGACAGGCAGAGAUGACCAUACCAUGGAAAAGUUGUACCAUGACAAGCUCAGCGUAAAAUGGCGCAUAAAGCUUCAGCGCACCAGAUAUUUAUCCUGUAAUAUUUAUUACAAUAAUCACUAACUAACUUCUAACUGACAUCUCUAUAUUAAUCACAAAUGUUUUAACUAUAAUGACAACUAUCCUUUAUUAUAACUCAUAUGAGUGCAAGAUAUUAAUAUAUAAUGAUAGAUCGUCGUGAAAAAAUUCAGAUCUGACAAUUUAUGUAAAGAACAUGACGUCUGACAUGUCUCAGUUUUACAUUGACACUAGUACGACACGAACACGAUCCCGGUCAAAAAAUUAACAUGAAUACGAUCGAAUCUGUGUCAACAUGACACGAUUGACAAAAAUAUUUGUGUCGACAACAUGACUGAAUAUUCGUGAUUUAUUAAUCGAACGAGGUCCCU